UACGUAGGGGCUAGCGUUGUCCGGAAUCAUUGGACGUAAAGCGCGCGUAGGCGGCCCGGUAAGUCCGCUGUGAAAGUCAGAGGCUCAACCUUUGAAUGUCAGCGGAUACUGCCGGGCUAGAGUCCGGAAGAGGCGAGUGGAACUCCUGGUGUAGCGGUGAAAUGCGCAGAUAUCAGGAAGAACACCCGUGGCGAAGGCGGCUCUCUGGGACGGUACUGACGCUGAGACGCGAAAGCGUGGGGAGCAAACAGG
rnacentral:rRNA from 1 species